rnacentral:piRNA from 3 species
UGGUUCAGUGGUAGAAUUCUCGC